rnacentral:rRNA from 1 species
GACGACGCUGGCGGCAGGCCUAACACAUGCAAGUCGAACGAGUGGCGGACGGGUGAGUAAUGUCUGGGAAACUGCCCGAUGGCGGGGGAUAACUCCUGGAAACGGUAGCUAAUACCGCAUACCCUCGGAUGUGCCCAGAUGGGAUUAGCUAGUGGGUGGGGUAAUGGCUCACCUAGGCGACGAUCCGUAGCUGGUCUGAGAGGAUGACCAGCCACACUGGAACUGAGACACGGUCCAGACUCCUACGGGAGGCAGCAGUGGGGAAUAUUGGACAAUGGGCGAAAGCCUGAUCCAGCCAUGCCGCGUGUGUGAAGAAGGUCUUCGGAUUGUAAAGCACUUUAAGUUGGGAGGCGUUACCAACAGAAUAAGCACCGGCUAACUUCGUGCCAGCAGCCGCGGUAAUUC